rnacentral:rRNA from 1 species
AACGAACGCUGGCGGCAUGCCUAACACAUGCAAGUCGAACGAGACCUUCGGGUCUAGUGGCGCACGGGUGCGUAACGCGUGGGAACCUGCCCUUAGGUUCGGAAUAACUCCCCGAAAGGGGUGCUAAUACCGGAUAAUGUCUUCGGACCAAAGAUUUAUCGCCUUUGGAUGGGCCCGCGUUGGAUUAGCUAGUUGGUAGGGUAAAAGCCUACCAAGGCGACGAUCCAUAGCUGGUCUGAGAGGAUGAUCAGCCACACUGGGACUGAGACACGGCCCAGACUCCUACGGGAGGCAGCAGUGGGGAAUAUUGGACAAUGGGCGAAAGCCUGAUCCAGCAAUGCCGCGUGAGUGAUGAAGGCCUUAGGGUUGUGAAGCUCUUUUACCCGGGAUGAUAAUGACAGUACCGGGAGAAUAAGCACCGGCUAACUCCGUG